AUUGAACGCUGGCGGAAUGCUUUACACAUGCAAGUCGAACGGCAGCACGGACUUCGGUCUGGUGGCGAGUGGCGAACGGGUGAGUAAUGUAUCGGAACGUGCCCAGUCGUGGGGGAUAACGUAGUGAAAAUUACGCUAAUACCGCAUACGAUCUAUGGAUGAAAGCGGGGGAUCGCAAGACCUCGCGCGAUUGGAGCGGCCGAUAUCAGAUUAGGUAGUUGGUGGGGUAAAGGCCCACCAAGCCAACGAUCUGUAGCUGGUCUGAGAGGACGACCAGCCACACUGGAACUGAGACAAGGUCCAGACUCCUACGGGAGGCAGCAGUGGGGAAUUUUGGACAAUGGGCGAAAGCCUGAUCCAGCCAUUCCGCGUGCAGGAUGAAGGACCUCGGGUUGUAAACUGCUUUUGUGCAGAACGAAAAGGUUUCUACUAAUACUAGGAGCUCAUGACGGUACUGUAAGAAUAAGCACCGGCUAACUACGUGCCAGCCGCCGCGGUAA
rnacentral:rRNA from 1 species